rnacentral:sRNA from 1 species
ACCACGUUUGCUUAAAAUUGAUUUUAAGUUGUGGAAAAUUUCAGUACCCCAACGUAAUGAUUCUUUGAACGUUGUAGCACCUACAGGUAAAAUCAUGAAUUCUUGGAAUGCAAUUGGAGCAUCUGAGUGAGAACCACCAUUAACGAUGUUCAUCAUUGGUACUGGUAACUGCUUACCAUUAAAUCCACCUAAAUAUUUGUAAAGUGGUUGACCUAAUAAGUCAGCUGCUGCACGUGCUACUGCGAUAGAUACACCUAAAAUAGCAUUUGCACCUAAUUUACCUUUGUUUGGAGUACCGUCUAAUGCGAUCAUCAUUUUAUCAAUAGAUACUUGAUCUAAUACUGAAAAUUCACCUUCAAUAAUUUCUGGUGCGAUGAUUUCAUUAACGUUUUCAACUGCUUUAGUAACACCUUUACCUAAAUAACGUGAUUUGUCUCCAUCACGUAAUUCAACAGCUUCGUGUUCACCAGUUGAAGCACCUGAUGGUACUAAUGCACGA